UUCAUAUACUACCCAUUGUAGGUAUCGCUUGAAAGACGGUUUACGCUGUCACUUAUAGAUGGGCCCGCGGCGCAUUAGCUAGUUGGUGAGGUAACGGCUCACCAAGGCGACGAUGCGUAGCCGACCUGAGAGGGUGAUCGGCCACACUGGGACUGAGACACGGCCCAGACUCCUACGGGAGGCAGCAGUAGGGAAUCUUCCGCAAUGGACGAAAGUCUGACGGAGCAACGCCGCGUGAGUGAUGAAGGUUUUCGGAUCGUAAAACUCUGUUGUUAGGGAAGAACAAGUACGAGAGUAACUGCUCGUACCUUGACGGUACCUAACCAGAAAGCCACGGCUAACUACGUGCCAGCAGCCGCGGUAAUACGUAUGUGGCAAGCGUUGUCCCGGAAUUAUUGGGCGUAAAGCGCGCGCAGGCGGUCCUUUUUGAGUCUGAUGUGAAAGCCCACGGCUCAACCGUGGAGGGUCCUUGGGAACUGGGGGACUUGAG
rnacentral:rRNA from 1 species